CACGGUGAAUACGUUCCCGGGCCUUGUACACACCGCCCGUCACACCAUGGGAGUUGGUCUUACCCGACGGCGCUGCGCCAACCGCAAGGAGGCAGGCGACCACGGUAGGGUCAGCGACUGGGGUGAAGUCGUAACAAGGUAGCCGUAGGGGAACCUGCGGCUGGAUCACCUCCUUUCUAAGG
rnacentral:rRNA from 1 species